CAAUUAGCUAGAUGGCCGCAGUAUCAGUAUGGUCCGUGUUUGAUGAAAUCGAGCCCACUGAUAUCGCCAAAUCAUCUGGUGAUGAAGAAACAUAGUUGACUGCUUAUAGGAUUUCGGAGGGCGAUCUCAUCUUAGUCUUAUGGAGUUGCUGGAAGGUGUUGAUCAUCAAUUCAAAAACCUUUGGUGGCUUCUUAAGAGAUAUAUGAUGGAUUGUUUGA